rnacentral:rRNA from 1 species
UACGAAGGGGGCUAGCGUUGUUCGGAAUUACUGGGCGUAAAGCGCAUGCAGGCGGAUCGCUAAGUCAGGGGUGAAAGCCCGAGGCUCAACCUCGGAACUGCCUUUGAUACUGGCGAUCUUGAGUCCGGGAGAGGUGAGUGGAACUCCGAGUGUAGAGGUGAAAUUCGUAGAUAUUCGGAAGAACACCAGUGGCGAAGGCGGCUCACUGGCCCGGUACUGACGCUGAGAUGCGAAAGCGUGGGGAGCA